rnacentral:pre_miRNA from 1 species
AGAGGGAUAGCUGGGUCAAAUGGAGGUUCCAUUCCCAGAUUUCCAAGGAAUCUCCAUACUGCUUUCCAUAUUGGCUGCACCAAUUUGCAGUCCCACCAGCAAU